rnacentral:rRNA from 1 species
CUUGGUCAUUUAGAGGAAGUAAAAGUCGUAACAAGGUUUCCGUAGGUGAACCUGCGGAAGGAUCAUUAUUGAUUUGAAUCGAGGUUGUUGCUGACUCUUUCGGGAGUAUGUGCACGCCUUGACCUUCAUAUCCACACCCCUGUGCACUAUUGUAGUCUCUAAUUUAUUGGAGACUAUGUCAUUUUUACAUACGAAAGUCCAUGAAUGAUAUCUAUCUUUAAUGCCCUAAGAAAGCAUUUAAAAGUUUAAAUACAACUUUCAACAACGGAUCUCUUGGCUCUCGCAUCGAUGAAGAACGCAGCGAAAUGCGAUAAGUAAUGUGAAUUGCAGAUUUUCAGUGAAUCAUCGAAUCUUUGAACGCACCUUGCGCCUCAUGGUAUUCCGUGAGGCAUGCCUGUUUGAGUGUCAUUAAAUUAUCAAUACUCUACUUUUUACAAGUAAAGGGUUGCAUUUGAGGUGUGCUGAGGCGUAAGCCCUGGCUCCCUUUUAAAUACAUUAGCGGAGAACCUCAUCUCUGGCUACUAUCAAUGUGAUAAUCAUCUUACAUUGUUAGUACUAGUCCCGAGUCCGCUCAGAAUCGUCGCCCUAGGUGACAACUUAUGACAAUUUGACCUCAAAUCAGGUAGGACUACCCGCUGAACUUAAGCAUAUCAAUAAGCGGAGGAAAAGAAACUAACAAGGAUUCCCCUAGUAACUGCGAGUGAAGCGGGAAAAGCUCAAAUUUAAAAUCUGGCGGUUUCACCGUCCGAGUUGUAGUCUGGAGAAGUGUUUUCCGCGCUGGACCGUGUACAAGUCUCUUGGAAUAGAGCGUCAUAGAGGGUGAGAAUCCCGUCUCUGACACGGACUACCAGUGCUUUGUGAUGCGCUCUCAAAGAGUCGAGUUGUUUGGGAAUGCAGCUCAAAAUGGGUGGUAAAUUCCAUCUAAAGCUAAAUAUUGGCGAGAGACCGAUAGCGAACAAGUACCGUGAGGGAAAGAUGAAAAGCACUUUGGAAAGAGAGUUAAACAGUACGUGAAAUUGUUGAAAGGGAAACGCUUGAAGU